rnacentral:tRNA from 1 species
GGCGGUGUAGCCAAGCGCUAAGGCAUGGGGCCUGCAAGCCCCUUAUCCCCGUGUUCAACUCCGGGCACCGCCUCCA